GGGAAUGUGGCUCAGUGGUAGAUUGCUUGCCUUGCAUGCAUGAAGCCCUAGGUUUGAUUCCUCAGUACCA
rnacentral:tRNA from 1 species